UACGGGGGGGGCAAGCGUUGUUCGGAAUUACUGGGCGUAAAGGGUUCGUAGGUGGCCAACUAAGUCAGACGUGAAAUCCCUCAGCUUAACUGGGGAACUGCGUCUGAUACUGGAUGGCUCGAGUGCAGGAGAGGAACGCGGAAUUCCAGGUGUAGCGGUGAAAUGCGUUGAUAUCCUAAGGAACACCAGUGGCGAAAGCGACUCACUGGGUCUCUUCUGACGCUGAGGCACGAAAGCUAGGGUAGCGAACGGG
rnacentral:rRNA from 1 species